rnacentral:rRNA from 1 species
UAACACGUGAGCAACCUGCCCCUGACUCUGGGAUAAGCGCUGGAAACGGUGUCUAAUACUGGAUAUGUCCCAUCACCGCAUGGUGUGUGGGUGGAAAGAUUUUUCGGUUGGGGAUGGGCUCGCGGCCUAUCAGCUUGUUGGUGAGGUAAUGGCUCACCAAGGCGUCGACGGGUAGCCGGCCUGAGAGGGUGACCGGCCACACUGGGACUGAGACACGGCCCAGACUCCUACGGGAGGCAGCAGUGGGGAAUAUUGCACAAUGGGCGCAAGCCUGAUGCAGCAACGCCGCGUGAGGGAUGACGGCCUUCGGGUUGUAAACCUCUUUUAGCAGGGAAGAAGCGAGAGUGACGGUACCUGCAGAAAAAGCACCGGCUAACUACGUGCCAGCAGCCGCGGUAAUACGUAGGGUGCAAGCGUUAUCCGGAAUUAUUGGGCGUAAAGAGCUCGUAGGCGGUUUGUCGCGUCUGCUGUGAAAUUCCGAGGCUCAACCUCGGGCUUGCAGUGGGUACGGGCAGACUAGAGUGCGGUAGGGGAGAUUGGAAUUCCUGGUGUAGCGGUGGAAUGCGCAGAUAUCAGGAGGAACACCGAUGGCGAAGGCAGAUCUCUGGGCCGUAACUGACGCUGAGGAGCGAAAGGGUGGGGAGCAAACAGGCUUAGAUACCCUGGUAGUCCACCCCGUAAACGUUGGGAACUAGUUGUGGGGUCCUUUCCACGGAUUCCGUGACGCAGCUAACGCAUUAAGUUCCCCGCCUGGGGAGUACGGCCGCAAGGCUAAAACUCAAAGGAAUUGACGGGGACCC